rnacentral:sRNA from 1 species
UAGGCCUACAUUUGCCACAUUGCUUUCGGAAAGCAGGAGAUAUACUUUCGGUUGACCUAGAGUUUGCUGCAACAGGGUGUGCUGGAGUAUCUGUCUGCCUUCGAUGAAGAAACCACGGAAGUUUGUUCUCUGGACACUCCUUCUAGACCUCUUGCUCUCCCUCUGGUAGAAGAGGAGGAAGCAGUGUCUGAACCAGAGCCUGAGGGGUUGCCAGAGGCCUGUGAUGACUUGGAGUUAGCAGAUGACAAUCUUAAAGAGGGGACCAUUUGCACUGAGUCCAGCCAGCAGGAACCCAUCACCAAGUCAGGCUUCACACGCCUCAGCAGCUCUCCUUGUUACUACUUUUACCAAGCGGAAGAUGGACAGCACAUGUUCCUGCACCCCGUGAAUGUGCGCUGCCUCGUGCGGGAGUACGGCAGCCUGGAGAGGAGCCCCGAGAAGAUCUCAG